rnacentral:lncRNA from 1 species
UUUUCACUUCCCCACGUCGCGGCUGCGGGGAGCAACAAGCGGCAGCGCGUGUGAGCGUGGGGAUCGCGCCGAAGGGCGCGCGCUUUUCACCGGGGCCACGCUGGGACUGUGGGGCACCAGAAGUGGUGGACGGGGCGCUGGCUUGGGAGCUGGCCACCAGCUGGUGGUGGCCGUAGGGAAGGAAGGAGAUGACCUGACUCUACAUCCUACCUGAAGGGUGGAGAUGGACCAGAGAGAGCCCCGGAAGCCUGGGGACCCUUCCCGACCUGUGGCUUAAGUGCUCAGAACCGCUGUGCACAGGCUGCAUAUACAAACUCAUCUUGGAAAGUCGCCCGCUGCAAAGGAAUGCAUGUGGAUUCUGUGUGUGCCUGGAGGUCAAAAGAAGACGCAGAUCUCCUGGAACUGAACUGUGGAUGGCUCACUAGAAGAGUAACUGAUGCCGUAGGAGAGCCUGAUGAGCAAGCCAUGGAAAGUAAGCCAAUAGGCAGCAUUUCUCCAUGGUUCCGGCCGCCAUGUUCCUGCUUGAGGUCCUGCUCUGACUUCCCUGAAUGAUGAUGCACUAUGACCAGGACAGGAAAUCUACAAUAGGACUUUUUCUUUCCUGGUUCCAGAGAAUGGCUGAGAAGACCUUUCAGCAGUUUCAAAUGCAAGAACCAGAUAUCACCCGUUGUUAUUGAGAGUAAAUCAAUACCGUGCCUGUCACAGCUUCUUCCCCGCCCUCCUCCUUUUGGAUGCAACGGCUGUUCUCUCUCAGUUUGUGGGGAGUUACUCCAGAGCCUCCUCCUCCAGGGUACCAAAUCUCGGGCUGGCUUGGUUCCUUACAUAGAAUGUCAUGGCAUUGCCCAGGACCUUGGGAUAGCCUCCAGAUACUUCAAAUCAUCUCUCCAUUGCGUUUGUGUUCCUUACACCUGUACAGAGUCAGUGCUGUGUGAGUCAUUGUUGUAUGCUUAGAGAAUGGUGCCAGGUUUUUUUUUUUUAAAGCCUAUGCAUGUUCAGUGCAGAUGCAACUUCUACUUUCAAAUAUGUUGACUGUGAUACAAACUGAAUCUUGGAACUCAGCAUGUGAAAAUACAGAAGAUCCCCUGCACCCUAAAAAGAAUAGUGUCUCUAUCAAACAUACCCUCUCAUGCCUGAGGUCAGUCUGAGAUGAUAAGAUGUAAUACUCACUGGAAAAUUGUACCAUACCCUCCAAAAGUCGUUAAAUUUACUCUGUGAAGAACCAGAAAUGCACAACCACAUAACAGAGGCAAAUGACUUCAUUUUAUUAUUCAUGUAUUCCUAAGAUCCUGCAAUACCGUCAACUUCUCCAUUUGCUGAUAUCCGUGUAGUAACAAUAAUAUCAUUAAUAUCAUCAAACCCAAGAGACAUUAGGAAGGAAAUGCUAACCCAGGGAUGCUUGGGUUGGUCCCAUAUAAAACAGCGAAAGGUGUAAACUUUCAGGGGCUGGAGAGGUGGCUCAGCAGUUAAGAGUACUUGUUGCUUGUGACCACUUGUAACUCCAGAUCCAGGGGACUGGACUCCCUCUUCUAGCUUCUAUGAGCAGGAAUUCUUGUAGUUUACAUACCUGCAUACAGCAGUUAUUCACAUAAAUAAAUCUUAGAAGGGUGGUGGAGAGGGAGAAGAGCAAAUGUUCACAAUGCCCAAAGCCAGAGAAACUGUUUGGAAGUAUGAUAACGAGGGAAGGACUACAAGACUAUCUAGGAGACAAAGUUGUGAGGAGAAAAUGGAUGGAGCAGGUGAGCUUUGCAGGUCCCAUACAACACAGAAAACAAAGAGGAGCUGGGCUUAGCUGAACGUAUCAACACAGUAUUAACAGUAAACCUCCCACCCAAGUACUGCCAGACUCAGACGUCCUUAGCUUCUACUCUAUUUUGAUUCUGUUGCUAUGGCAAAUGCCAUAACCAAAAGCCACUUAGGGAAAAAGUGUUUUAUUUUCCUGUGAACCCGAAGCCAGGAUUGCUUGUUAUUUUACACAGCAUUCCCUCAGAUCAGGGAACCCACUCAGAGCCAAGGCAGUGCAACAGAAACCACAACAGAUCACUGCUUCCUGGCUCACAGGUUCACCUUUGGUUAGAUAAGGGCUUACUUAGUAAGGGCUUCCUUACACAGUCCACCUGCAUAGGGAUUGAUGCUGCCCACAGUGGGCUGAACUCUCCCAUCUUAAAUAACAAUCAAGAUAAAUACCUCACAGACAUGCUCUUAGGGCAAUCUGACCUGAGUGGCCUCAGUCAAGGCUCCUUUCUCAAAUGACUCCAGGCUGUGUCAAGCUGACAGUUGAAGUUUACAAGGACAGCUGAGAUCAGGUAAAAUUGGCCAUUUUCAGUGUGGCAUAGCCACAGACAUAAUAAUAAGUUAAUGGAAGCACUUGUGUAGUCUACCUUCCCCCAGCCUGAAACCUGUUUGCUCAGGGGUGGAGCUUGCCGCUCAAUCGUUCUGCCACGCCCACAGCUGGAACCUGCCACUUUGCUGUUCUGGAGCCAUACGAGUGGUCACCCUGCUACUGGACUCCAAGAUUAUUUGGCGGGAAUCGGGCCCCCUUCCCCUGCUUCAUAACUGCAUGCAGAAUAAUAAAAUUGAGCUUUGAUC